GAUGAACGCUGGCGGCGUGCCUAAUACAUGCAAGUCGAGCGAACAGACGAGGAGCUUGCUCCUCUGACGUUAGCGGCGGACGGGUGAGUAACACGUGGAUAACCUACCUAUAAGACUGGGAUAACUUCGGGAAACCGGAGCUAAUACCGGAUAAUAUAUUGAACCGCAUGGUUCAAUAGUGAAAGACGGUUUUGCUGUCACUUAUAGAUGGAUCCGCGCCGCAUUAGCUAGUUGGUAAGGUAACGGCUUACCAAGGCAACGAUGCGUAGCCGACCUGAGAGGGGGCAGGCCCCCAUGGAAGGUGGGACGGCGCCAAGGCACCGGGGGGAGGCGCAGGAGGGUAAUCUUCGGCAGGGGGGGAAAUCUUGAAGAAGCAGCGCGGGGGGGGUGAUGAGGGUCUGGGGGUCGGAAACCUGUUUUGUGGGGGAAAAAAAAAUUUGAAAGAAACAAAGCCUUUCUUGACGGUACCUAAUAAAAAAGCCCCGGCUAACUACGUG
rnacentral:rRNA from 1 species